GCUGGGGUGAAGCGCUCUCUCAUCGUCAUUUUGACUUGCAUCUCAAGAUUUUCUGCUUCGGACACGCCUCGUUGAGUAACUAUGGGGUUUGCUUUACUCACAGAACUGCUGUUGGUUGGAUCUGUGAGGAAGAACUACAAGACAAAU
rnacentral:snoRNA from 1 species